rnacentral:lncRNA from 13 species
UGUACAUGGAGUAACUUCUCCCUCUCUGCCGAUGCUCAGCCUUCCCACGUGUGUGAGACCAUUGCUGUGGAAAGAAGCUGGGCCUGACUUCUGGGCUCUGGUGUGAAAUAACAGAUCCAUGCAUUCUGAGUAAACAACAGAACCCCUUCUGGCUUCUACAGGAGGAACCAAAUGGCUUGAGCAUUCAGAGCCCAAUGGAGACCAAGACUGAUACACUAUACUCAUGAUCAACUGCUCAGUUCUGGUUUGGGCCUCUGAGGGCUGAUGGGGUUUGGCAGGCACUGUGCUCCAAGAUGGUCAUCUACUAUGACAGCCCAAUGAGAUAGUA